ACGGGUGAGUAAUACAUCGGAACGUGCCCUGUAGUGGGGGAUAACUAGUCGAAAGAUUAGCUAAUACCGCAUACGACCUGAGGGCGAAAGUGGGGGACCGCAAGGCCUCAUGCUAUAGGAGCGGCCGAUGUCUGAUUAGCUAGUUGGUGGGGUAAAGGCCCACCAAGGCGACGAUCAGUAGCUGGUCUGAGAGGACGAUCAGCCACACUGGGACUGAGACACGGCCCAGACUCCUACGGGAGGCAGCAGUGGGGAAUUUUGGACAAUGGGGGCAACCCUGAUCCAGCAAUGCCGCGUGUGUGAAGAAGGCCUUCGGGUUGUAAAGCACUUUUGUCCGGAAAGAAAUCGCACUUACUAAUAUUAGGUGUGGAUGACGGUACCGGAAGAAUAAGGACCGGCUAACUACGUGCCAGCAGCCGCGGUAAUACGUAGGGUCCAAGCGUUAAUCGGAAUUACUGGGCGUAAAGCGUGCGCAGGCGGUUGUGCAAGACCGAUGUGAAAUCCCCGGGCUUAACCUGGGAAUUGCAUUGGUGACUGCACGGCUAGAGUGUGUCAGAGGGGGGUAGAAUUCCACGU
rnacentral:rRNA from 1 species